UACGGAGGGUGCUAGCGUUGUUCGGAAUUAUUGGGCGUAAAGAGCGUGUAGGCGGUUACAUAAGUCAGACGUGAAAUCCCUCGGCUUAACCGAGGAAGUGCAUCUGAAACUAUGGGACUUGAGUACUGGAGAGGAGAGUAGAAUUCCCAGUGUAGAGGUGAAAUUCGUAGAUAUUGGGAGGAACACCGGUGGCGAAGGCGGCUCUCUGGACUGACACUGACGCUGAGACGCGAAAGCGUGGGGAG
rnacentral:rRNA from 1 species